rnacentral:ribozyme from 1 species
UGCCCAGCAACUCCUACCCUUACCUCCUCGCGAUACUGGCCGGGGUACGAGUAACCUUAGGGAAGAUCGGGUAACCAACCCUGGGGGAAGG